rnacentral:rRNA from 1 species
GUAGUCAUAUGCUUGUCUCAAAGAUUAAGCCAUGCAUGUCUAAGUAUAAGCAAUUAUACAGCGAAACUGCGAAUGGCUCAUUAAAUCAGUUAUCGUUUAUUUGAUAGUACCUUACUACUUGGAUAACCGUGGUAAUUCUAGAGCUAAUACAUGCUAAAAAUCCCGACUUCGGAAGGGAUGUAUUUAUUAGAUGAAAAACCAAUGCCCUCCGGGGCUCACUGGUGAUUCAUGAUAACUUCUCGAAUCGCAUGGCCUUGCGCCGGCGAUGGUUCAUUCAAAUUUCUGCCCUAUCAACUUUCGACGGCUGGGUCUUGGCCAGCCAUGGUGACAACGGGUAACGGAGGGUUAGGGCUCGACCCCGGAGAAGGAGCCUGAGAAACGGCUACUACAUCCAAGGAAGGCAGCAGGCGCGCAAAUUACCCAAUCCCGACUCGGGGAGGUAGUGACAAUAAAUACUGAUACAGGGCUCUUUUGGGUCUUGUAAUUGGAAUGAGUACAAUUUAAAUCCCUUAACGAGGAACAAUUGGAGGGCAAGUCUGGUGCCAGCAGCCGCGGUAAUUCCAGCUCCAAUAGCGUAUAUUAAAGUUGUUGCAGUUAAAAAGCUCGUAGUUGAACCUUGGGUCUGGCUGGCCGGUCCGCCUCACCGCGUGCACUGGUCCGGCCGGACCUUUCCCUCUGGGGAACCGCAUGCCCUUUACUGGGUGUGUCGGGGAACCAGGACUUUUACUUUGAAAAAAUUAGAGUGUUCAAAGCAGGCCUUUGCUCGGAUACAUUAGCAUGGAAUAAUAGAAUAGGACGUGUGGUUCUAUUUUGUUGGUUUCUAGGACCGCCGUAAUGAUUAAUAGGGACAGUCGGGGGCAUCAGUAUUCAAUUGUCAGAGGUGAAAUUCUUGGAUUUAUUGAAGACUAACUACUGCGAAAGCAUUUGCCAAGGAUGUUUUCAUUAAUCAGGAACGAAAGUUAGGGGAUCGAAGACGAUCAGAUACCGUCGUAGUCUUAACCAUAAACUAUGCCGACUAGGGAUCGGACGAUGUUAUUCUUUGACUCGUUCGGCACCUUACACGAAAGUACAAGUUUCUGGGUUCUGGGGGGAGUAUGGUCGCAAGGCUGAAACUUAAAGGAAUUGACGGAAG